UACGGGGGGGCAAGCGUUGUUCGGAAUUACUGGGCGUAAAGGGCUCGGUAGGCGGCCAACUAAGUCAGACGUGAAAUCCCUCGGCUUAACCGGGGAACUGCAUCUGAUACUGUGCGGCUAGGAGUGCGGAAGGGGCAACUGGAAUUCUUGGUGGUAGCGGUGAAAUGCGUAGAUAUCAAAGAGGAACACCUGCGGCGAAGGCGGGUUGCUGGGCCGACACGUGACGUGGAGGCGCGAAAGCCAGGGGAGCGAACGGG
rnacentral:rRNA from 1 species